AAAACAUUCCGUUAUCUGCAAAAGAUGAUAAUAUCCUGAAUUUCCUGCAGAAAAAAAAAAGCUGCUUGUUAGCACCAAUGCUAAUCUGAAAAAAUUGAUGCUAACACUCUGUGAAAGCAGAGCACUGUGUGUGCUGUCCCCAGGACCACGCUGCCUGCCAAGACCUCUGCCCACUGCCACCAGCACUAUGUCAAGCUCAAGCAGCAGUUCGGAGAAAACAAUUGAGAUGAAAAAUUUCCUUCUACACGAUGUCCUGCCUGAUCAUGAACGUAUUUUUAUGGAGGUACCAGAGAACAGCAUAAAGAUUGGGGACAUAGUGCUUUUCAACAUGGAGUCCAGCAGCAGUACUUCAACCAUCUUCAAGCACGCAACUGUCUAUUGUGGGGAGGGGGAGGUCAUCCACUUCCAGAAUAUCGAAAAAUCAAGUAAAGGGCGAAUAAGCAAAGAAGGAUUCCUGAUUAUGAGACAUCAGAGGGGGAAAUGCAAGGUUCUCAGGAAAAGGGAGGGGUUCAACCAUGAGACGUUCAAGAAGAAAGUCAAGGAGCUGAUGAACAGCACAGCCAAUUACAACUUAGUGAACAACAACUGCAUCAACUUUGCUCUCUAUCUGCUGGAUGUGGGGGAUUUCAGCUUUCAGUCCCCAAAUAGUCAUGGAGAGGAACCUGUCCUCGCAAGAUUGACUCACAACGAGAUCGUCUGAGAGGUGCCCAGAGGCUCGUACCCCAGCACACACGCCCAGAGGAGCUUUGUCCCCACAAUUCAUCUUUCCACACGUCUGCUUCCUUCAAAAGAUGACCUUUCUGUAGGCGUUCCUUUCCAUCUUUUUGCACUGGAUCAUUUAAUAGUCGGCUCUCAGCACCCCCUGCACAGGGGUACAAAUACUAACCAGCUGCUGUAUUGACUAUUUCCACUUGAAGACUGCCUGUUUUCACUGCCUUACUCUGUGUUGUUCAAAUAAUCAUAACAUUCAGAGUAAUUUGCAAAUAAGAACUGCCUAUCAAUAAUAGUGCUUAUCUGUGUAUAACAAUUCUUAUCAGUGACUUCUUGUACUACUAAUAUCUAUAGCCAAAUAAUAGUAUCCAAGGUAAUGGUAUCUCAAGUAAUUACAAUAAACAAUUGCUAUUCUUCUUAUACUACUAAUAGCUAUAUGCAAAUAAUAGUAUCCCAGAUAAUAGCAUCUCAAAAAAUUAUAAUAAAAAAUAAUAAC
ensembl:lncRNA